GACGAACGCUGGCGGCGUGCUUAACACAUGCAAGUCGAACGGAAAGGCCCUGCUUUUGUGGGGUGCUCGAGUGGCGAACGGGUGAGUAACACGUGAGUAACCUGCCCUUGACUUUGGGAUAACUUCAGGAAACUGGGGCUAAUACCGGAUAGGAGCUCCUGCUGCAUGGUGGGGGUUGGAAAGUUUCGGCGGUUGGGGAUGGACUCGCGGCUUAUCAGCUUGUUGGUGGGGUAGUGGCUUACCAAGGCUUCGACGGGUAGCCGGCCUGGGAGGUUGACCGGCCACAAUGGGACUGAGAUACGGCGCAGACUCCUACGGGAGGCAGCGGUGGAGAAUAUUGCCCAGUGGGCGGACGCCUGAUGCAGCAACGCCGCGUGCGGGAUGACGGCCUUCGGGUUGUGAACCGCUUUCGCCUGUGACGAAGCGUGAGUGACGGUAAUGGGUAAAGAAGCACCGGCUAACUACGUG
rnacentral:rRNA from 1 species